GACGAACGCUGGCGGCGUGCCUAAUACAUGCAAGUAGAACGCUGAAGCUUGGUGCUUGCACCGAGCGGAUGAGUUGCGAACGGGUGAGUAACGCGUAGGUAACCUGCCUGGUAGCGGGGGAUAACUAUUGGAAACGAUAGCUAAUACCGCAUAAGAGUAGAUGUUGCAUGACAUUUGCUUAAAAGGUGCAAUUGCAUCACUACCAGAUGGACCUGCGUUGUAUUAGCUAGUUGGUGAGGUAACGGCUCACCAAGGCAACGAUACAUAGCCGACCUGAGAGGGUGAUCGGCCACACUGGGACUGAGACACGGCCCAGACUCCUACGAGAGGCAGCAGUCGGGAAUCUUCGGCAAUGGACGGAAGUCUGACCGAGCAACGCCGCGUGAGUGAAGAAGGUUUUCGGAUCGUAAAGCUCUGUUGUAAGAGAAGAACGAGUGUGAGAGUGGAAAGUUCACACUGUGACGGUAUCUUACCAGAAAGGGACGGCUAACUACGUG
rnacentral:rRNA from 1 species